AACAGCCCUGUGAGAUAGGUUAGGCAGAGAGAUGGUGACUGGCCCAAGAUCAUCCAAUGAACUCUAUGGCUGAGCAUGUGAGACAGUUUGGCAGGGAGAAAACAAUUUGGCCAAGGACACAGGAUGAUCUUCAUGGAUGAUGAAAGGAUGGGCUCGGGGUUGCCAAGUUUAAAUACAACAUGCCACUGCAGACAUCAUAUUGCCUGCAACCAGGCAGCCAUUCAACACUCAAGAAUAUUCCCCACUCCUAGUGUCAUGCACAUCACAAGCAAAUCCUAAGAGACUUGCUCCGCUGCGGGGCUGCUUCCUUUUUGUUCUUGCAAGGCUUCCAUGGCAGCACAAUUGUGCAUUGAGUGGUGGUGUGGACCGUGACAUAAUUUUGGUGUUUGUGACAUUGCUACACGCAACGACGGGUACCUUGAACUAUAGCAAAUGUGGGGUAUUAUCAGCUGAUAUAGCACAGUGGGGAGGAGAGCCUGGCUGGGAGUCCAGAGUCUGUGAAUUCAAAUCCCCGCUCGUGUCUCCUGGGUGACAAGGGCCAGCUAAAGAUCACCCCCACAGUGAGUGGCUGAGGGGUUAUGUGCCCUGCCACCUGUGCAGCCAUGGGCAAGCUGCGUAGUCCCAAGGAGCCCAGUUGCCCCCCAGCUGGCAGUUGCGGACAAGGAAGGAGCUGGCUUAUGCAGCUGUGGCAAGCUGACCAGGCCCUAGCCAGCUGGGAAGGACUAGCCUCAGAGGAAGGCAAUGGUAAACCCCCUCUGAAUACCGCUUACUAUGAAAUCUCUAUUUAUAGGGUAGCCUUAAGUCGGGAUCAACUUGAAGGCAGUCCAUUUCCAUUUUCAUAUUGGUUGAUGAACGUUGAUAGAGUUGCUAGGGACAUUGUAGGGCUAUCCGUCAGUAUUGUUACAUAUCUUCGUAUUUCCUGCUUCGACAUUGAGAGUGUGUAUGAUCACAAAUACGUGAUCCUGGCAUUAGCCCAGGUCAGUGUAGCAGAACCAUAAGAUGGGCCAGCAUGUGUAAGUAGCCAUAAGUUCUAUCAACAUUAAAACAGCUGAAAUCAGAUGUAACAUGUGCUAUCUGUUGUAAAAGAAAACUCUCUUUAAUGUCAGGAUCCUUGCUAUGUAUUGUAAAAAAUGACAUAUUGUGUCACUUUUGUAUAGCCCACUGCUACUCAAUGUGUUGUA